rnacentral:lncRNA from 1 species
CUUCAGCUAUUCUCCCCUGGGUCUUUGCAGAACCUUCCGAACUUUCAGAAGGUUUGCGUCCUUUCCCUGUAGUUUUUCUUACCAUUCUGACUGAUCCCUCACAGGCGCCUGUAAUUUCAGCUACUCCGGGGGCUGAGGCAGGAGAAUCGCUUGAACUCGGGAAGCAGAAGUUGCAGUGAGCCAAGGUCGCACCACUGCACUCCAGCCCAGGCGACAUUGUGAGACUCCAUCUCAAAAAAAAAAAGAAAAAAAGUGUACUAACAAGACCCAGCACACAGAGGAGACUUUUACCAUUAUAUGAACACCCAUCAAACAGUACACAUCAUCAUUGUGAGUUCUGAAUCUCACACAUAGAGGAAGUCAAAGGUGGAAAAAUUGACUCUCAUAUUUGGAUCCAGUCCACAGGUUCUGCUAGCAAGGAAGACUGAGACAUAUUGUGGGGCUCUACGCCAAUGUGACAUUACUGUUCUGCCUUGGCCUGCACCUGAAAAGGCAUUGUGACAUAUUGCUGGGCCCAGCAACAAGGUGGCAUGAGUCUUCCGUAUGGACCCUGACAACAGAGCAUUGUGACAUAUCUUUAAGAGCAUCAACUAUUUGAUGUGACUCUCCUUUUCUACGAAGGCUUUCCUCAUAUGAGAGAUUGUGACACAUCUUCUGGCACAGAAAUCAAGUGAUGUGUUUCUCCUGCCUGAGCUUUGCUCAUAGGGAGCAUUGUGACAUAUCUCUGGUCUCAGCA